AUGGAGCGCAAGUCUGGUGCCAGCAGCCGCGGUAAUUCCAGCUCCAAUAGCGUAUAUUAAAGUUGCUGCAGUUAAAAAGCUCGUAGUUGGAUCUCAGUUACAGGCAGGUGGUUCACUUUACAGUGUUACUACCUGAACUGAACCUAUUGCUGGAUCUCAUGGGUGCCCUUCACUGGGUGCCCAUUGAGGACAGACGUUUUACUUUGAGAAAAUUAGAGUGCUCAAAGCAGGCGAAUGCCUGAAUAGUUGUGCAUGGAAUAAUGAAAUAUGGCCUCGGUGUUGUUUUGUUGGUUCACGAUGCUCGAGGUAAUGGUUGAAAGGGACUGACGGGGGCAUUCGUAUUGCGACGUUAGAGGUGAAAUUCUUAGAUCGUCGCAAGACGGACUACUGCGAAAGCAUUUGCCAAGAAUGUCUUCAUUAAUCAAGAACGAAAGUCAGAGGUUCGAAGGCGAUCAGAUACCGCCCUAGUUCUGACCUUAAACGAUGCUAACUGGCGAUCCAGGAGGGGUAUUUAAAUGACCCUCUGGGCAGCUUCUGGGAAACCAAAGUUUUUGGGUUCCGGGGGAAGUAUGGUUGCAAAGCUGGAACUUAAAGGAAUUGACGGAAGGGCACCACCAGGAGUGGAGCCUGUGGCUUAAUUUGACUCAACACGGGAAACCUCACCAGGCCCAGACACUAGAAGGAUUGACAGAUUGAGAGCUCUUUCUUGAUUUGGUGGAUGGUGGUGCAUGGCCGUUCUUAGUUGGUGGAGUGAUUUGUC
rnacentral:rRNA from 1 species